AUUAGCGGCGGACGGGUGAGUAACACGUGAGUAACCUGCCUUAGACAUUGGGAUAGCCUCGGGAAACCGGGAUUAAUACCAAAUAAAAUCAUAAUGACACAUGUCAUAACGAUCAAAACUCCGGUGGUCUAAGAUGGACUCGCGUCCCAUUAGCUAGUUGGUAGAGUAGAAGCCUACCAAGGCGACGAUGGGUAGCCGGCCUGAGAGGGUGAACGGCCACAUUGGAACUGAGAAACGGUCCAA
rnacentral:rRNA from 1 species